rnacentral:lncRNA from 1 species
AUUGUUUUACUAGAUUUCGGUGAUGCCAAUGUCUCUAUUGAGUAGGCCAUCUAACCAUCUGAUUGCUACAGCAAGGUAGUAUUUCGACUCCUGAAAUUACAAUUAAAGGAUUAUAUUACAAGGACGCAAUAAACUGAAUAACUUAUUUUAUUUAUAACCAUGCAAAGUCAUUAAUGGAUUAUCAUAAGAGAAAAUUAUUUAUUUACCUUCCAAUUUUGACAUUUAUUUUAGGAAACAUAAUUAAGGGUUUGAUUUAAUAGCUUUUAUUAUAUAUUUUCUACUUGGAAUAGGAUUCUUGAAACCCUGUAUAAAGGGCCUUAUGCGAUGUAAUUCAAACAAUUUUGAUAGUGAAAUAAAUUGAUAUUCUAUCCCAAAUUCUAUCUAUUCUCUCCCUCUUAUUCUCUCUUUUCAGCUUCUGAAAAUGCCAUGCAAGGAUGAGACUCUGGGAUAUUGAAAGGAGCCAAAGUUUUAUAAAUCCUUUCACAAAAUACAUAGAUUCUCCAUGUUGAAAUCAAAGAGAAGAUUCAAAAGGCCGAAGCGUAUCUUGAUCCAUAGUUGUUAGUAUUCCGAACGGGUUAAGAUCUUCCAACUGUUACGUGAUUUCUUGAAAUCUUCUUCUCUGUUGAUG